rnacentral:lncRNA from 1 species
CACAGAUAAGGACAAGGCACGGGGUAGAGGGAGGACGUUCUGAAGAUGUGCAUGGAACGGAUGAAUGAAUGAAUAAGUCAGCCACUGGCAGCAUCUGGAUGUGUGGGCAGGAGUCACAAUGCAGAGGGCACAGGAGGCCUCAUGCCCAUCACAGGCCACCAGAGCACAUGAAGAUGCUGGGGCCAGGAUACCCCUUGGGGUAAAGGCAAGAAACUGACCCAGACUUGACCGAGGGAAGAAGGAAGAGAAAGAUGAUGCAAACUUGGGAGCCCUAUGGAAAAGGAAAAUUCGAGAGCUGCAGAGCCUGACUCUUGCCUCCUUCUGCACAGGAUCGGCACCUCUGCCGGUAGUCCCCAAGCAUCACACAUGCAGGACUGCCUGUUCUGGACACACUGUCCCCUAGGAAUCUGCAUUCCUCACAGCCAGAAUCUUCCUCCUCUCCAUUCCUGCCGCUAAAAGUCUUAAGUGCUGACAAGGCCGUUUCCUGCAUUCGCUGCCUUCGUCACAGCCCUGUCGGGUGAACAUCUGAAGUCACGAGUGCUCUGAGCCCCACACACACCAUGUCCUCAGCCCCCUCCCUGGUCUCCCUGUCAGAGAUGGGGGCGCCCCCGGAGCUUCGUCAUCUGUGACAAUCGUCCGCCCGCUCUCCAGCCGGAACCUCAGCGAUGAAUAAGGGCUGAUUUCUCCUCAAACGAUCACCACCCCCAAUUCAUCACAUUCAAAGGACUAUGCACCUCAUGCCGUACAUUGGGAUGUACACGAGGGCCUGUGACAUUUAAGCUCCUUGCAGAGGAACUGCAUUGGGUCAUUUGGAUUCUCCACAGCACCUCUGAGCACGACACACCCUGGGACGAGGCUGUCUCCACAGCUGUGGACACGGCAGACCAAGCAGAUGCUUCAGGGCAUUUGCCUUUGACGAAGAUGCAGCCUGCCUCUUUCUGGGAUGCUUGUCCCUCAUUCUCUUCAAGGUCACACAAGGAGAAAGAAAGCAUGAGACUUAGUGCUGCAGUGAACUAUGGGGAAACGUCUGGGAGCAUCUUGAGUCCAUGAGGCCACGAGACUCAGGGGAAACCCAGCCUGUUGAGACAGAGUGACACAGAAGGAAUCCAC